AAACUUAGUAGUAUUGACAUUGUCACGAGUCGAGUCUGUGAUCUAUUUCGACCAGUUUCUAGAAGCUCGAGGUCAAACCAGUGCAAGUGUCCAGCGUAAACAAGUUAAUUUUAGGUAUCCAAUCAAAGAAAGAGGUUAAGGGAAAAAAAUAGCACACGUCAGCUUCUAGAAGGUCAAAGUUACUAAAAUAAUUAGGGGGAGAAGUUUCCAUGAUUCUGGAAUGUACGAUUAAGAAAGGUAUACAUUAAGGGAAAGUCAGUUAGACGGGGUCCUCGCUUAGUCCUCGAUUAGUAAUGGUUAUAAGUUUUGUGAUAUUAGCGGGUCCAUUAGUUAAAGUUGAAUGUUAUACUAAGUGAAGUUUCAUGUAUCUUUAAGUUUUAUUUAUGAAGUAUCAAGUCAAAUUGUUAUUGAAUUGAGAAGUCAUUUUAUGUGAAAGUUGAAGAAGUAUUAUUAAAGAAGUUUUAAGAAAAUACAGAGAGAUGUUUCUUUCUUCAUUUCAUUGAAUUGUCAAGUUUGAUAAUAUAAUCCCCGGCAAGUGUGAUCGUCACAGACAUCUCUAAAAGAGCCAUCAGAGAUGCAGUCCUGAAACUAUUCAUUCAUCUUCUGUGGAGUCAUGGCCCUCAUCGUCUCCAUCAUACCCAUCGUGGAGCCAGGGGCCCAGAGAUACAACAAAGCCAACCUGGCUCGAAAAGCGAAACGAACAUUUCAUGAGAUAAUUCAGAAACCAGUGAAUCUAUUUCUAAACGUUUGCUGUUUCUCGCUCAUGGAUAGAACAGCAAGUAAAGUCAACCUUCUCUGUGUCCUAGAACUUCUUAUAUACUUUUUACUUCUGUCGACUUCCAGAAUGAUCGCAAGGCAGCAAAGGUUUGAGUUUUGUUCAGCAGAUUCAAUAUUUGUGCCGCUCGUGAAAAUCAAUAAAUACUCAAGAAACUGCUCUUUGCGAAACCUUUUACAAUGAUAUAUAAGGCAUAUUAAUUAGUAUUUAAUGUUGGAAGGACUACUUCAUAGAACUACAAAUUCCUAUAUGAAUCAUAAUAUUCAUAGCAACGGAUGAUAAACCUGAAAAAAAAUAAUUCCAGUGUGUUUGAUGAUCACACAGGUCAAGGGCUGUUGAAUAAGGGGACAGUACUGCUAGUGCACGCAUGUAUGACCUGUGCUGAGGUCAUGUGACAGAUAGCCUUUACGGGGGAGAGACUCAGUGUGUAAAGCCAGUGUAAAGAAAGGACAGUUGAG